AACUGCUGCUAGUCAAAAUUCGUGAUCGACUGAUUGAAGGACGGCGGUGGGAGCUCGGACAAAGACAACAGGGAUAUAUCCCUACUGGGCGUUCCUCCUGACGAAGUCCAGGGAAGAGGGAGGAGAACUCCCUGGAGAACCACUGCGGCUGCUGGUGCUGAGGUUCUCAUAAUAACCCAUGAUUGUCGAGUAGCUCUUACGGGCUCUUUGAACGUCUUGGUCACUCAUUUUUGGUUUUUCUUGGGCAUAACUCUGAGGCUUUCUUUUGUUGAUUAGCGAAAUGUAAUCAAUGGAUCAGACACUAUGCGCUAUGUAUCCAAGCCUUCCACAAGUUGAUGCGUUGUCCUGGGCCGCCAUGCCACCUAGGGCGAUACUGUUGGCAAGACCCUAAUGGAAAGAAAAGCACUAUAAGCUUGAGACACAUAACCUAAAAGAGCUUGUUAGGUAUGUGGGCAACAAAGGUAUCCUCGAGGCCCACAAUGACGUCCCCGAUGUGAUCCGUGAACAGCUCUACAGAGAGGAGCACCGAAGACUUGAAAAACGGCAGUCGAGCGGCAGCAAUCCCCUUGCAUCCAAUCCACCCUAUCCUAUUAAUACUGUAUUAAUCUCUUGCCUACUCAGUCUCCUCAAACUUCCAUGGACACUUUAAGAAAUGUUACUUGCAUCGGUCCGACAGAUGAUGCCUUUGAGCAAGCAGGCAAUCCAGAUGAAAAUGCAGAAUCCGGCGAUUUGACAAAGGCGCUUACUUUCCACACUCUCACGGGGUUUAUACCAAUUUCCUAACAGACGGUAGCCAACGCAACACCAGCCAUCCCCUCAGAUACGAAUACUCACUGCCUCGAUUGCCCCAAAAUCCUUGGCCCUCGAGAUGAUGCCGUGAAGGCAUAUAGGAAGAGGCAGGAACUGAAUGUCACCAGUGAGACGUACAACGUGGAGAUUCGAAAAGCGUGUGAUGUAACGCUAGAAAAUUGCCUUGAUCUUAAGUAGAUUUUCAAUGACCAACACCCAACUUUCUUUGUUGAGAAUGGCGUAAAAAUAGGCAUUGCUCGCCGUUUUGGUCAACGACAUCGCUGCAUGGGCCGAACUGUAGGAGGAACUCUUGCAGAACUAGGUGAAUUGAGGACUACUCUAGCUUGCUGCUUGGGAUUCCUUUGUUAAUAAACAGAUAUAACCGAAAUCACAAGAUUUUAGAUUAAAAUAACAGCAUUAAUCAUGAGCCCCGUCCUUUAUUCUUAGUUUGUCCAUCUUCAAUCCAUCCAGAAUAUCAUCACUCUCGGGC
rnacentral:sRNA from 2 species